rnacentral:rRNA from 1 species
UACGGGGGGGGCAAGCGUUGUUCGGAAUUACUGGGCGUAAAGGGCUCGUAGGUGGCCAACUAAGUCGGACGUGAAAUCCCUCAGCUUAACUGGGGAACUGCGUCCGAUACUGGAUGGCUUGAGUUUGGGAGAGGGAUGCGGAAUUCCAGGUGUAGCGGUGAAAUGCGUAGACAUCUGGAGGAACACCGGUGGCGAAGGCGGCAUCCUGGACCAACACUGACACUGAGGAGCGAAAGCCAGGGGAGCAAACGGG